AGAUCCAAUUUGGUUUUCUGUUAAGUUAAUUUGUUCAUUUCAUUCUGCCCUUCUAGGUAAUUUUGUCACUCGAAUAUUCUAGUCUACAGUGUAGAGAAAAGGCAUAACACCUUUGCUAUUCUAAAACGGUAAUGUCAUAGCAGUCAAUAGUACUGAAUGCCUGUGCAGUGUGUACCAGUGCUGUGCAUGCAGCACUGUGGUAGCUGUCGAGGAUUUGUAUAGCACCCACAAGAGACUUACAGUCUUAGCAAGAGAAGCCAGCUCUUACCCUGCAGCUCAGCUGGGAGCCUGACUCUCUUGCUUUGUAAGCAGGGAAUGAUCCCCUUUCACAAGACCACCAUCAUGUCUGGGCCUGUACUAGGAGGCUGUAGCUAGAACCUGCGUUUUUCUCAACACUAUUUUUAUGACCAAAGGGCAGCACCUUCUGAAUGGGAGAUCGUGUGACUACUGGGAAUUCAUGUUCCUCUAAUGCGCCUGUGUUUAGUGGUAACACCUCACAUGCAGAAUCUGGUUACCUAUGCAGUUGUGAAUAUCCAGAAGUCAGGUAAAUCACUGUCUAUAGUCUUACCCAAUUUAAAAGUUCAUGAUUUGACCUUUUCUCCCUUAAAUGAAUGUGUUGGUGGUGAUUUGGAAAAAGAAAAUUAGGAAGACCUUCUGAAGGUAUAGUGAUCCUCAAAGUUCGUACUUGUGGCACCUUGACUCCUGGAGAUUUUUGUCUCAGUCUG
rnacentral:lncRNA from 1 species